rnacentral:rRNA from 1 species
GGGUUGUGAGGUUAAGCGACUAAGCGUACACGGUGGAUGCCCUGGCAGUCAGAGGCGAUGAAGGGCGUGCUAAUCUGCGAUAAGCGCCGGUAAGGUGAUAUGAACCGUUAUAACCGGCGAUACCCGAAUGGGGAAACCCAGUGUGACUCGUCACACUAUCAUUAACUGAAUCCAUAGGUUAAUGAGGCGAACCGGGGGAACUGAAACAUCUAAGUACCCCGAGGAAAAGAAAUCAACCGAGAUUCCCCCAGUAGCGGCGAGCGAACGGGGAGGAGCCCAGAGCCUGAAUCAGCAUGUGUGUUAGUGGAAGCGUCUGGAAAGGCGCGCGAUACAGGGUGACAGCCCCGUACACAAAAGCGCAUGUGUUGUGAGCUCGAUGAGUAGGGCGGGACACGUGGUAUCCUGUCUGAAUAUGGGGGGACCAUCCUCCAAGGCUAAAUACUCCUGACUGACCGAUAGUGAACCAGUACCGUGAGGGAAAGGCGAAAAGAACCCCGGCGAGGGGAGUGAAAAAGAACCUGAAACCGUGUACGUACAAGCAGUGGGAGCACCCUUUGGGGUGUGACUGCGUACCUUUUGUAUAAUGGGUCAGCGACUUAUAUUCUGUAGCAAGGUUAACCGUAUAGGGGAGCCG